AUUGUUAAUAUACUAAUAUUUUUUAAAUAAUUUGUAGGUGCUUGGAACUCCAACAGAAGAAGAUUGGCCUGGAGUAACAAGAUUACCAGGUUAUAAAGCACAUAAAUUAGGUAAAUACCAACCUCGUAAGUUAGGUUUGUACUGGCCAAGAUUACACGACGUGGUUCAAGGUGAAACAAUGGCCACAGCGUUAUUACAACUCGAUCCUCAGCAUAGAAUCGGUGCGGAUCAAGCGAUGACUCACCAAUAUUUUAGCGGAUUACCAAAGAAGCUACUCGAGCUUCCCGAUGAUGUAUCAAUAUUUAGUGUGGAAGGUGUCCAUUUGUACCCAGAACACUACUCGGGCAUCAAAUGAGGCCUAAAUUCGGGACGUCCCUUCUCAGGAAUAAUACACAACUAAAACGACCAGUCGCGUCUGGACACCUUCUUCCCCCUAAUUAUUAAAAAAUGAAAAAAGUAAUAAAGAAACCCCGGCACACACGCUUGUUACACAAAAACAAAAUACAUCUGAUCCCACCAGCAAUUCAUUCACACACACGUAGUUAAAGAAAAGGAUCGAUCUUUAAAAAGAUAUGAAAAAAAAAAAUAAUAGGUUUUUAAAUUAAAACGAAAAAUAAUUGCGAAACUGAUAGAAUAACGUCGGUUUUCGAUAAAAGAAGUGUACCUUUUUCCUUUACGCUUGAUUAAGCGUAAUGGUAUAUUUCUCAAAUAGUAAUAAGAUCAAAAAAAAAAUUUAUAACAUACUUUAAAUGGUUACGUUACGUGUUUUUGUUUUGCACCAAAAAAUUUAUGUUAAAUUAUGUUUUGACGGUUAUUUUUAGAUUAUUUCAAAAUUUUUUUUGCGUACGUGCCAUUUUCUUAAAGACUUAAUAUUUUUGUUUUUCUUUAAUUCCAAAAAGUUGUUAAAAUAAAGUUUUAUUUAAAUUAAU